UGGUUCCCUGCGCGCAAAGGCGCAACGGGAUCAAAAGGGAACACGGUGCGGCGUACCCAUCAGGGACCAAAUCCGUGGCUGCCCCCGCAACUGUAAGCGGCGAGUGCCCUCCUAUACGCCACUGAUCUCCCUUGGGGGAUUGGGAAGGUGGAGCGUCACAUUGACCCGUGAGCCAGGAGACCUGCCAGCCUC
rnacentral:ncRNA from 1 species